UUUCUGCCCAGGUCCUGUUUUGGGUCCAAGUUUAUACUGCCCAGUUCGUUUCAGUGCCACAUACCAACUGGAGUAUUUCCUUGACCGGUUUAAGGUCAGGAGUCGAAAAGUAAAGAGUGAAAGGAAAAGUCAAGGUCAGCACUGAGCUUCAUGGGCUAAUUUCCCAGAAAUAGACCUAAACCACAUCAGUCAGUUAUCCUCAGGACGUUGAGGUUACUUGUACCUUUUUACACAGAGGGGAGAGAAGGAAGUUGUGCAUCUGUGCCGAACACUCAGACAUGUAAGUUUACUAAACAGCUGAUGUGCGCUUGAAAACAAACUGCAUUUUUUUCAUGGGUAGUAGAGCCAAAUUUCAGUCUCAAUAAAAGCAAGCUCUAACAUCCCGUUUUAAGCAAUUUUCAGUUCUCUCCAUCCUAAGUUUACACAUCAUCUUCAUUGGUUGUGAUGUCAAUAAUCCUGUUAAAAACUGAUGCAGUGUAAUUUUUUUAACCUUUAUAAACAUAUUCACAGAGCUUUUUUCCUAUACUCAAUGUUUAACUGCUCACCAUUUCAAACUUAAGAGAAAAGGAGAUCUCCAGAGGACAUCACAGAGGAAGUGGGCACUGGGAUACAUCAGUGAACAAAACUGAACAAAGAUCCCUGCCUUGGUGCUGGUCAAAUUCUCACUGGGGGAGACACAGAAUAAGCAUACUAUGAUUUUGCAGUUUUGGCUUAUGAGAGAGUUUGCUCAACAUUGAGUCCAAGAAUGCUUUUGCUUACACCGCUUCUGAGAAUUAAAAACAGACAUGAUGCUUGUCUCUUCCCAUUGUCACCUGAGUGAGGUCCCUGCUGACAUCCCCGGCUACAGUGUCUUUCAUCAUCAGUGAUAACAGUGGAACAGAUGCUAUUAAUAGCCAAGGGUCAAGACUUUUCAUUUCUUGCCUGAAAGUUGCUGUUGUUGACAGCUCAGUGCCUAUGGAUCUGACUCAGAGGAAAACAUGCCACUAACAAACACCACCACCUCCUUGGUUUGGGGGUUAAGUGUCCCUUGUUUUAGGGACACUUACUUUUUCAUCUGAAAAUUGACACAGCCCACCCAGACUAAUCUGAAAGAGGAUUGCUGCUGAAGAGGCAAGGCAGCAAGCCACACUAAUUGAAUGGAAUCAUCCAAUUUAAUGCUGAAGACCACGCACUGAAAACUUUUUAACGCAGACAACUGACAAAGGAGUGUACGUAACAAAAGAACCUCACUUGCUAAAAAUGAAAAACUUUACAUCUCCAUAUAUAUGUGGAAUACCAGAGAAGCCAAAAACCACACAUUCCAUUCUUCUCACAACUCAACUGGCUGGUUAAAGUUUAUAGAUAAGAAUAUUGGACACACACACACAGUUCUUUCAAAUUCUUAGCAACUCCUCGGUUUGCAGAGAAGGUUAAAGUUAAACAUAAUAUGAAAGAAAGAAAAAUAGGAAGGAAGAAAGGAAGGGAGGACCUUAGAAAUCCAUGAAUUCUUUCAUUACUACUCAAUCAGGACAUGGCUUUAUGAGUCCAUUAAAUCUUUCUCUGUAUCAAGCCUUAUAUCCACAAAGUAGAAAUUGUUUUCAUCGUGGGACUUAAGACUACCAAAGGUGACAAAAUAUUUAAAACAGUUUAAAUAAAAGUAAGUGUAAUAGGGGCUUCCCUGGUGGCACAGUGGUUAAGAAUCCGCCUGCCAAUGCAGGGGACACGGGUUUGAGCCCUGGUCCGUGAAGAUCCCACAUGCCGCGGGGCAGCUAAGCCCGUGCGCCACAACUAUGGAGCCUGCGCUCUAGAGCCCAUGAGCCACAACUACUGAAGCCCGCACGCCUAGAGCCCGUGCUCCACAACAAGAGCGAAGAGUAGCCCCAGCUCACCGCAACUAGAGAAAGCCUGCGCACAGCAACAAAGACCCAACGCAGACAAAUAAAUGAAUAAAAUUUUUUUUAAAAGUAAGUGUAAUAUAUGUCU